UACGAAGGGAGCUAGCGUUGUUCGGAAUCACUGGGCGUAAAGCGCACGUAGGCGGAUGUGUCAGUCAGGGGUGAAAUCCCCGGGCUCAACCUGGGAACUGCCUUUGUGACUGCAAGGCUUGAGUGCGGCAGAGGGGGAUGGAAUUCCGCGUGUAGCAGUGAAAUGCGUAGAUAUGCGGAGGAACACCGAUGGCGAAGGCAAUCCCCUGGGCCUGCACUGACGCUCAUGCACGAAAGCGUGGGGAGCAAACAGG
rnacentral:rRNA from 1 species